rnacentral:rRNA from 1 species
UUGAGGCGUGGCUUCCGGAGCUAACGCGUUAAGUCGACCGCCUGGGGAGUACGGCCGCAAGGUUAAAACUCAAAUGAAUUGACGGGGGCCCGCACAAGCGGUGGAGCAUGUGGUUUAAUUCGAUGCAACGCGAAGAACCUUACCUGGUCUUGACAUCCACGGAACUUUUCAGAGAUGAGAAUGUGCCUUCGGGAACCGUGAGACAGGUGCUGCAUGGCUGUCGUCAGCUCGUGUUGUGAAAUGUUGGGUUAAGUCCCGCAACGAGCGCAACCCUUAUCCUUUGUUGCCAGCGGUCCGGCCGGGAACUCAAAGGAGACUGCCAGUGAUAAACUGGAGGAAGGUGGGGAUGACGUCAAGUCAUCAUGGCCCUUACGACCAGGGCUACACACGUGCUACAAUGG